rnacentral:rRNA from 1 species
CCUACGGGAGGCAGCAGUGGGGAAUAUUGGGCAAUGGAGGAAACUCUGACCCAGCGACGCCGCGUGAGGGAUGAAGGCCUUCGGGUUGUAAACCUCUUUCAGUAGGGAAGAAGCGAAAGUGACGGUACCUACAGAAGAAGCACCGGCUAACUAUGUGCCAGCAGCCGCGGUAAUACAUAGGGUGCAAGCGUUGUCCGGAAUUAUUGGGCGUAAAGAGCUCGUAGGUGGUUCGAUACGUCGGAUGUGAAAAUCAGGGGCUCAACCCCUGACCUGCAUCCGAUACGGUCGAGCUAGAGUUUGGUAGGGGAGACUGGAAUUCCUGGUGUAGCGGUGGAAUGCGCAGAUAUCAGGAGGAGCACCGAUGGCGAAGGCAGGUCUCUGGGGCCAAUACUGACACUGAGGAGCGAAAGCGUGGGGAGCGAACAGAAUUAGAUACCCUGGUAGUCCACGCCGUAAACGGUGGGCGCUAGUUGUGCGAACCUUCCACGGUUUGUGCGACGCAGCUAACGCAUUAAGCGCCCCGCCUGGGGAGUACGAUCGCAAGAUUAAAACUUAAAUGAAUUGACGG